AUGAACGCUGGCGGCGUGCCUAAUACAUGCAAGUCGAGCGAACGGACGAGAAGCUUGCUUCUCUGAUGUUAGCGGCGGACGGGUGAGUAACACGUGGAUAACCUACCUAUAAGACUGGGAUAACUUCGGGAAACCGUAGCUAAUACCGGAUAAUAUUUUGAACCGCAUGGUUCAAAAGUGAAAGACGGUCUUGCUGUCACUUAUAGAUGGAUCCGCGCUGCAUUAGCUAGUUGGUAAGGCAACGGCUUACCAAGGCAACGAUGCAUAGCCGACCUGAGAGGGUGAUCGGCCACACUGGAACUGAGACACGGUCCAGACUCCUACGGGAGGCAGCAGUAGGGAAUCUUCCGCAAUGGGCGAAAGCCUGACGGAGCAACGCCGCGUGAGUGAUGAAGGUCUUCGGAUCGUAAAACUCUGUUAUUAGGGAAGAACAUAUGUGUAAGUAACUGUGCACAUCUUGACGGUACCUAAUCAGAAAGCCACGGCUAACUACGUG
rnacentral:rRNA from 1 species